rnacentral:rRNA from 1 species
AUCUGACCUCGAAUCAGGUGGGACUACCCGCUGAACUUAA